UACGUAGGGGGCUAGCGUUGUCCGGAAUCAUUGGGCGUAAAGAGCGUGUAGGCGGUCCGGUAAGUCCGCUGUGAAAGUCGGGGGCUCAACCCUCGAAUGCCGGUGGAUACUGCUGGGCUAGAGUCCGGAAGAGGCGAGUGGAAUUCCUGGUGUAGCGGUGAAAUGCGCAGAUAUCAGGAGGAACACCAAUGGCGAAGGCAGCUCGCUGGGACGGUACUGACGCUGAGACGCGAAAGCGUGGGGAGCAAACAGG
rnacentral:rRNA from 1 species